rnacentral:rRNA from 1 species
UACGGGGGGGGCAAGCGUUGUUCGGAAUUACUGGGCGUAAAGGGCUCGUAGGCGGCCAACUAAGUCAGACGUGAAAUCCCUCGGCUUAACCGGGGAACUGCGUCUGAUACUGGUUGGCUUGAGUGUGGGAGAGGGAUGCGGAAUUCCAGGUGUAGCGGUGAAAUGCGUAGAUAUCUGGAGGAACACCGGUGGCGAAGGCGGCAUCCUGGACCAUUACUGACGCUGAGAAGCGAAAGCAUGGGGAGCGAACAGG